UAAACUAGGAUUAGAUACCCUAUUAUUUUAAAUGUAAAUUUAAAAUUCUAAAUUAGUAUUAGUUAUGUUCUUGAAAAUUAAAAAAUUUGGCGGUAUUUUAGUCUUUUCAGAGGAACCUGUCUUAUAAUUGAUAGUCCACGAUAAAAUGUACUUUAUUUAUUAGUUUACAUAUCGUUGUAGUUUGAAUAUUUUAUGAGAAAUUUAAUGUUCAUAAUUUUUAAUUAAAAAAUAAAUCAGAUCAAGGUGUAGUUUAUAAUGAAGUAAAGAUGGGUUACAAUAAAUAUAUUUAAGGAUUAUUUUUAGUACAAAAAUUUGAAUGUGGAUUUGAUAGUAAUUUUAUAUAUUUUUAUAAAAUGAUUUGAGCUCUAAAAUAUGCACACAUCGCCCGUCGCUCUUAA
rnacentral:rRNA from 1 species